CCGGAGGGCGAGGCCUCUGGGUGGGGCGGAGCCACCCUCGCUUCUUUCUCCCUGCUAAAGUAGGUUGCGGGUGGGAGGCGGCCGCUGCUCUUCUGCAGUGUUGGGAAGAUGGCGCCGCCGGUGACGGAACGGGGGCUGAAGAGCGUCGUGUGGCAGAAGAUAAAAGCAACAGUGUUUGAUGACUGCAAGAAAGAAGGCGAAUGGAAGAUAAUGCUUUUAGAUGAAUUUACCACUAAGCUUUUGGCAUCAUGUUGCAAAAUGACAGAUCUUCUAGCCGAGGGUAUAACUGUUGUGGAGAAUAUUUAUAAGAAUCGAGAACCUGUCAGACAAAUGAAAGCUCUUUAUUUUAUCUCUCCAACAUCAAAGUCUGUAGACUGUUUUUUACGUGAUUUUGCAAGUAAAUCUGAGAACAAAUACAAAGCAGCAUAUAUAUACUUCACUGACUUUUGCCCUGAUAGUCUCUUUAACAAAAUUAAAGCUUCUUGCUCCAAGUCAAUAAGAAGAUGUAAAGAAAUAAAUAUUUCCUUCAUUCCACUUGAAUCUCAGGUUUAUACUCUUGAUGUACCAGAUGCAUUCUAUUACUGUUACAGUCCAGACCCUAGUAAUGCAAACGGAAAAGAUGCCAUUAUGGAAGAAAUGGCUGAGCAGAUAGUUACAGUGUGCGCUACCCUGGAUGAAAAUCCUGGAGUAAGAUACAAGAGUAAACCUCUAGAUAAUGCCAGUAAGCUUGCCCAGCUUGUUGAAAAAAAACUUGAAAACUACUACAAGAUUGAUGAAAAGAGCCUAAUAAAGGGUAAAACUCAUUCCCAGCUCAUAAUAAUUGAUCGUGGCUUUGAUCCUGUGUCCACUGUCCUGCAUGAACUGACCUUUCAGGCAAUGGCAUAUGAUCUACUGCCAAUUGAGAAUGAUACAUACAAAUACAAAACAGAUGGGAAAGAAAAGGAGGCAAUCCUUGAAGAAGAUGAUGACCUCUGGGUCAGAAUUCGACAUCGGCAUAUUGCAGUUGUAUUAGAGGAAAUUCCCAAACUAAUGAAGGAAAUUUCAUCAACAAAGAAAGCAACAGAAGGAAAGACAUCGCUUAGUGCUCUUGCCCAAUUGAUGAAAAAGAUGCCUCAUUUCCGUAAACAGAUUACUAAGCAAGUUGUCCAUCUUAACUUAGCAGAAGAUUGCAUGAAUAAAUUCAAGCCUAAUAUAGAAAAGCUCUGCAAAAGUGAACAGGACCUGGCACUUGGAACUGAUGCAGAAGGACAGAAGGUGAAAGAUUCUAUGCGAGUACUUCUUCCAGUUCUACUCAACAAAAAUCAUGAUAAUUAUGAUAAAAUAAGAGCGAUUCUACUUUACAUCUUCAGUAUUAAUGGAACUACAGAAGAAAAUUUGGACAGGUUGAUCCAGAAUGUAAAGAUAGAAAAUGACAGCGACAUGAUCCGUAACUGGAGUUACCUUGGUGUUCCCAUUGUCCCCCCAUCUCAACAAAGCAAACCAUUAAGAAAGGAUAGGUCUACAGAAGAAACUUUUCAACUCUCUCGAUGGACACCUUUUAUCAAAGAUAUUUUGGAGGAUGCCAUUGAUAAUAGAUUAGAUUCAAAAGAAUGGCCAUAUUGUUCCCAGUAUCCAGCAGUAUGGAAUGGCUCAGGAGCUGUAAGUGCUCGCCAGAAACCCAGAACUAAUUACUUAGAGGACCGAAAAAAUGGGUCAAAGCUGAUUGUUUUUGUAAUCGGAGGAAUUACAUACUCUGAAAUGCGUUGUGCUUAUGAAGUUUCUCAGGCACAUAAAUCCUGUGAAGUUAUUAUUGGUAAUUCAUCCAUCUGGAAUUGACUUUAGUGUGACAGUGUAUGCCAGCCUCAAGCCACCGGAGCACCGCUACCUGUUGGAAGUACACAGAAAGAGGCCUCUGGACGGCGGAUGCUGCCAUCCCCCUGCUCUCAGCAAUGGUGAGCCCCUUGACUCAGCAUUAGAAAUACAAUUACUUUUCGCUAAUGAACUUGUUUUUCUGGUCUGUUACUGCAGCAGAAUUAGAAGAGAGAUCUGUCAAAAUUUGCACAAAGAAGGGAGGAGACAGCCAAGGCUACAGGAUCAGUAAACAUAAAGUUAUCUUUGUAAAUCAGAGCCUAGCACUUUUCCAGAAAAUCUUAAGGACAUUGCCCUGUUUCUGUUUCUUGGAUUAAGCACGUUGCAGUGAUGGUUCAUGAUAAUCCUCAAUCAUUAAGGAAAUGUAAAAUUACAUUUAGGAUCUAGUUUAAUAAAGCAGAGAUGAGCCAUAUUUUUAAAUAAAUGAUUAUAAUAGUUAAUGUUUCUCUAAAGGUUAGUGGAGGGUUUAGGAACAUUCAUUUAUGGUGGUCCUUUCUAACCUGGGUUCCGUGGGUUUGCUUUAGGUGUCCAUGAACUUUUAAAAAUUGUGUGUGUUCUUAUAUCCCUUUUCCCUGCAAGAGGGGACCAUGGGGGAGGGAGACUCCAUAGCUUUCUUCAGUUUCUCAAAGACGGUUGAACCCAGAAAAGAUUAAGAACUAAUGAAUCAUACGAGAACCCUUCAAGCCAGGGAAGUGUAAUUUUAAACUUGGGGACAGGAUAGUGAUGCUUGGCACACAAAGCAGGUUUUCAACUUGUGAUUAAAUUUAGGUAAGUGAUGAAUCUAGAAGCCUCUUAGCAUAUACACAGUUAAAGCUCCCUUUUUUUCCUCUUAAAAUGCUACUACCACGGACGCCUGGGUGGUUCAGUUGGUUAAGCGUCUGCCUUUGGCUCAGGUUGUGAUCCCAGAAUCCUGGGAUCGAGCCCCACAUCCGGCUCCCUGCUCAGCGGGAAGCCUGCUUCUCCCUCUCCUACUCCCCCUGCUUGUGUUCCCUCUCUCACAAUGUCUAUCAAAUAAAUCUUAAAAAAAAAAUAAAAAUGCUACUACCAGUCUUCACUCUCUACCUUAUGGUGCCAAGACUUAAAGUACCAAGUACCUUCAGCCACAAAGUCAGAGACAUCUUCAGCCUGGCCUCUGCUUUAUCUCUUCUAAGGCACCCUAAACCAAUUUCCAAGCCCCAAAGUUAAAUAUUAAUAGCCCAUUCUCCAGCCAGCUAGACAAAUAGCAGCUGCCUUGGCCACAAGAAUCUUCAAAGUGGGAAUGGAUUCAACUCUCUUUACCACUGAGCAAAGCUCUGGGGGUUGGGAAACCAUUUGUUGACUGUUUUGAGUAAAUAGAGACCUCAGGAAGCAGGGAAAGAGCCAAUCAUGUGCUGCUCUGUCAUUAAAGAGGUUAUAAAGCAGUCUUAAAGAAGCAAAUCAAAAUCUUGUUCUGACAUUCUACAUGAAGUGCUAUACAUUUAGUUAAUCCCCAGUACAUAGUUUUAGUGAAUUGUCUUCACUUUGUCCCAAAUUCAUUAAUCUAGGACUAACAUUUUUGCAUCUGACUUCAAGAGAUCUUCAUGUAAUUUAUAUUAUAAACAUAUUGUAAGAAUUUCAUACCAUACAGAAAGUAAAAGUAAAGAUUCUUCCUUCCCUGAACGAUGCCCAGUUUCCAUUUCCUGGAGGUCCACUGAAUAUUUUUGUGUAUCGUUCCAGAAAAUACGUAUGCCCUUUGAAAAACAUACACAAAUGAGGUCACACUACAUAUAUUAUUAGUUGUCUUGCCUUUUUUCACUAUCUUGCAAGAUUAUCCACCUCAUUUUUUUCCAGUGGUGCAGAGCACUAACUGGAUGCCUGUCGUUAUUUAUGAAUCCCCACAGAGUAUUAGAUCGUUCCACUUGGGGGCUCUUUCCCUCAGUGCUCCAGUGGCCACCCAUGUGUAAUACGAUGGCCUAUUGUGUGAGUCACCUAUGAAGUAAUUGCUAAGAGUGGGGUUUCUGCUCAGAAGGCAAGUGCUUUUACAUUUGUAGGAUUUGAUACCAAGUUGCCUUCCCACCAGGUUAUACCAAUUUACACUUCCAUCCCCAGGGUACAAGAGCACCUGUCACCCCCAGCCUCACUGACACUGGCUUUUCUAAACUUUAGUUUUUGCCAUACUUACAGGCAAAGGUAUAGUUUGGUUCUAUCCUUUUUUUUUUUUUUUAAGUAAUCUCUACACCCAAGGUGGGGCUCGAACUCUUGACCCUGAGGUCAAGAGUCGCAUGCUCUUCCCAUGGAGUCAGCCAGGCACUCCUAGUUUAUUGCUUUGAUUUCUUUUAUUAUGAGUUAGGAAUAACAGAUUUAUUUUAAAAUAAAUACUUGUUGAUUUCAAUUUUAAGAAUCAGGGUCCAUUGUUUUUUCCUUUUAAGCACUUGGUGCCCCCCCAUUUCUUACAGUUUUGGUAUUUUCUCUAGAAAGUCACCUUCCUAAAUGGUAUAAGAUACUUUUGGGGGGAAGAUGAGUUUUCUUUGCAUUUCUCUUUUUUUUAAAGUCCUCGGUUGCCUUGGGUCGAACUAGUAUUUCAGUUGAUUCCUCCAUCUCUGUACUUUGGCAAGAUUUUCUGCAAUAGUUCUAAUCAUUCGAUCAGUAGUGUCUUUCAAAAUGGUUGCUGUCCUCAGGGCAUGAUCCAAAGACGAGUUUAAAAUCUACAGAGGAAAAGUCCACACAUUUUGUUUAAAGUUACUGUUUCUGUUAAUUGGGUUAUCUCAUUAUUAAACAUUGCAAGGUGGAAUUUUUGGAGUAUUCUUUUCCCACCCAGUCUGUUCCUGUUUUUGACAGUUGGUUUCCUAGGAAACCAGUCUGAGAUGGAAUAUAUUUUUUAGGGAAAGGGACAGAAAAAAAAAAAGACCCAACACAUGACCAAUGAGUGUGAAUCAGAGGGUGAGAUCAGCAACCUGCCAGGCUGUUGCCCUGCCACAGAGGAAGAGAUCUGUGAGAAGGAAGGCAAGCUCUUUGGGGGUUGUCGAAGGGGACGGAGGAGUCAUAACCCCUGAGAGGGCACCCAGGGGGAUUAGUGCUUGCGUUGGAAGCAUUUGAAAGUGGCCUGGGAUUUGACUGGAAAAUUGGGAACCAGGCAGUUCUAACCCCAGUGUCACUGGAACAGACUUGGGAGCGGCUGGAAACAGUCUCUGCUGCCUUCACUCCUGGCCCAAGGGAUCCUGUAGCCAAGGCACCACCCACAAAACACUUUCUCCAGGAAAUUUCCCUUGGAACCAAUUUAGGAAUAAUACAAACCAUGUGGCUGCUCAGGCUGUGUGUCUCUGUGUUAGUGCUGAGCACAAAUUGUGUUUAGCGGAGCAUUUUCUGGUGCCCCCAUACUGUAAUAAUUUAAAAGGUUUUGUGGUCAAGACCAUACUUACAAGCUGCAAGGAUUCUAGAAUGUUUUUGUUUUUCUUUUCUAAGUCCUCACCUCAGAUUCUGUUUCUUCAGUACUGCCAAAGUUGCUUAAGGAUUUGCUUCCAGAAAUCCUGCAGGAGUGGAAAUGGGGUGAGGUUUUAGCAAGGUCUGAAUGGUAGGUCAUGAAAACCUUAAGAUUUUUUCUGGAGGGCAAAAGCAUAUUUGUAUAAAACUGCCCUCUCCCCUCGAGCUCGUGGUGGUUCAGUAAUGGCUGUGUGUGUGUGUCUGUGUGUGUGUGUGUUGGAGGUGAGGAGUUUGUGCUCUCUCUGCCUUUCGCCUAUAGUCCUGUUGUGGCUGACCACAGAAAUAGUUUGUUCCACAACCAUGAAGGGUGUUUUCUCCCAGAAUCUGUCUCUUCUUCCGUUGCCACAGAAAGAGGCAAAACUCUGAUUUUUAUUAGGUUUUCAUUCUUUUCGGGCCAACCUUCUACCCUGCAUAUUUAUAAAACAAAUGCACACAAAUCAGUUGCAGGCACUUUGAGUUGAGUUCAUUCUAGCACCAGUGAGCUUACAAAGUAAGGAGGCAGCAGCAGUAGAAAGAUAAAAGCAGCACCUCUUUAAGCAGGCUCCCCUUGCCUACUACACUAUAAGUAUGACUCUGUCUCUUGAUGGUCUGGGUGAAUAAGGGGGGCCAGUGUCACCACGUACGGUUGUUGCAGUUGCGCACUGCAUAGCUCUGGGAGGUUUCGUUCACAGUGUAUGCGAAGGGCACUGCGUGGUGCUAUGCUUUGCACAACAAUGAGUAGUGGCCUUAAGAGAUGCCACAAGACAUUGCCUGUUGACAGGUGGGCCAUGGAGCCAUCCUCACGUCCCCCUGGCUUGAGAUUCCUUCUGUUAAGCAUUACUUCUUUGGUACAUAGGACACUUGUAGCAGUCAUCUCCAGAAAGUCUGGCUUCAAAUGCUUGUGACCCAAAGCCUCCCUUCAUCCUCCCCCCCACCCCCACCACCAUAUUCACAUGAGUUGGUUCCGCAGGUUAGUUUAACACAUUGGAUCUAUCGUCCAGUUGAGAGCAUCAGAGAACAUGAGCAUAAGGAGCCCCUAGCUAAUGAAAAACUCCAGGCAGAGCAGGGCAGUGUGGUGCAGUGGAAAGGGCGUGGGCUUCAGAGUCCUCUGUCUCCCUACCUCCAGUCGGUCACCAUGAUCAACAAUAAUAGCCAUCACUUGCUGAAUGCCAGGUACCUUUCCAAGUGCUUUAUAUGUAUUGACCCAAUCCUCAAUGAGUUUGGCACUAUUAUGAUUCCCAUUUGGGGAAUAAUGGGGAAAUAAUGGUGGGGAAAGGGAGGCACAGAGAGGUCAGGCAACCAGCUCAAGGACACAGAACCAAGAUGCAAACCCAAGACCUCGCCAGAGGCCACAUUCUUAAACACUGCACUGCAUUAUCGUAGGAGCUAGUGAGUUCAGACUGAGUGGGUGAGUGCAGAGCCUGAACUAUUAACCACUCUGCUACACUAUUGAUUCUGCCUCCUAGAGAGCUCUUGAAUACUAGACUUCUCUCUUUCCUUCUCUACCACCCUUGGCCAAGGUACCAUCAUUUCACCUGGAAUAUUGCACCAGCCUCUUACUUGGCCUUUGUGCUCCAAUCCUUGACUCCUCUACUCCAUUCCCACUCCUUUGGUAGUUAGAAUGAUCUUUUAAAACACUAGGAAACUUUACAAACACCUUCAUUGGCUUAUUAUACUCCAGAGUCUGAAAUCCUUCCUGUAGUCGACAAGCCCUUGCAUGGUCUGGCCCUACCCAUCCCACCAGCUUCCCCUCACCAGCCCCAUCAUGGCCCACAGCCAUGCGUACUACACUGAUCCAGAACUUGCCAAGGGGCCUUCCCAUUCCAGCAAGCUCUCUUAGACUGGAAUGUCUUCACUCUUACCUCUACAUCCCCUUGCUAGUUGAUUCACACUUAUCCUUUGGUGUUCAGCUUCCCUGAACCUCCAAAUUAAGUAAUGGCACUCAGUACACCCCCUUUUUGGCACUUACAAAGACUGGCUCUUCUACCAAAAAAGUAACUUCCAUGAGGGCAGGGACAGUAGUUUAAUUUUUCACUGUGUCCUCAGAACCCAGCACAAGAGGCUGCUAUUAACACUCAAAUACUUGUUGAAGAAUAAAUGAAUGUUUGAAGUACCAGCCAUACUUUGAUUUGAAUCUUGGCUUUACUACUUAUGAUCUAGGUGAUCUUGGGCCAGUAAUUUCAUGCACUAAGCACAUUGUAUGUACCCAACUGAUUGGUAGUCAUUUUUGUUGUUAUUAAUAAUAAAAUAAUACUUACUUUCCUGGUAUGGGCUCAUGUUCAUCAUGAGAGGAUUUUGGAUUCGAUGUCUGGGAACAGAUCCAUUCUGGCUUUGAACAAGCUGAAAAAUGUUAGCUAUGAUUAAAUUCAGAGCAUCACAAAUGAUCCCCAAAUGGUGGAUAUAUGGGUAUCAUUUCCCGAACUUUUCUGUAUGAAGGAAAUAUUUCAUGAAAUUUUAAGAAGUAAGAAAAUUAGGGAACAUAGAAAACAAAGAACUUUCUAUCAAGUAUUCUGAAUUCAGGAAAAGAAAUUCAACUUAUUCAUUUUAAGAAAUUCAACUUUUAAAGGGAGUUUUAUCAGUAGCCACAAGACCAGGAGUCUAGGUUUAGGUUCGCUGGGUGCUAGCUGUGUGACAUCUGAGCAUGCCGUCCAACUUCUGUGGACUCAACUACUUCAUCUGACAAGUGGAGGGAUAGAUAAUCCCUUUGACGGGGAUUGAAGUCUUCUCCAAACCCAUGAGCAAGGUUUCUAGGAGUCAGAAACUAAAUUACAUGACUAAGACAAUUCCAGAAAAUAGAGACUAAACAGAAAAGAAGAUAAACGUAGGAAAGACACCACGGAAGACAAGAAGAAAGCCAGGGAAAGGAAGAGAGGAGAGUCGAUGGCCAAUAAAUAUGCCUUCUCUGUUGCUGGUUGUCCUUCCCUGGUCUCCUGUCUUAUUCACCAAUCUCUCGUAACUAGGCUUCAUUCCCCCUCAGGAGGGUCCCAUUUGACAAGGGAACUGGAAGACAUUGUCCCUCAGACAUGGAAGGCAGAGCAGAAGCCAGAAAGUCCAAAUUAGUCAUGCUGACCACCCGAACUUAAGUCGUGAUGAGCAGAGGUACUAAAGAGUUCAGUCCUAAUCUUUUGCUAGUCUCCAAAUAUAAAUCUGGAUUUUAUUUGAAACAUAGAAGCUCAUAGGGUCAUCUUGUCCAGUUCUAGUCUGGUCUACAGGUUUGCAACAUCCUGACAAAGUACAUUGUCUCCAGAUGGGAUCUGUAGAGACAUCUCUACAGAUGGGGCUCAGGACCUCCCACAACAACCCACUGCAUUCCAAUUUCUGGAAGGUUCUUUUCAACACUGAGCAAUGCCUCCUUAUGACUUCUACCUUCUAGGCCACUAUAUAUUUACUAAUGCAGCUCAGAGUCACACUUCAGAUGACUCAGCUGAUCCCUCAUUCCCUCAUAUACUGGAAUGACAAGUCUCACGGACUGUAGACCCAAAGGCCAAAGAGAUAGUAAAGAAAUCUGCUCUGUUGCUUCUGCAGAGUUUUAGUGGCUGUCAUCUCGAGAGAAUACAUGCAUGUGAAGGAUUUGGCAGCUGGGGGGGGUGCAUAGGGGACGCACAGCUGAGUUCAAUCUGGGAAAUGGCAUUCCUUCAUCUUGGAAAUUGGCAAUUGUGAAAGAUAAGAAACAGUCUCCCUGAUGCCCUGUCCACAGAUAAGGAGAGAAAGUGCCGGAGGUAUGAACUUUCCCACAAGGAGAGGAUGUCAGAGAACCAGAUAUGGCUGUGGGUCAGAAGCAAAGCAUGGAGUAUUUCCUUCCCUCCCUUUUGUUCCCUCAGCACACUCUGACUUUGUUAAUUCUAGCACCGCAUUUUGCCACGAACUUCCCUUAUUUGGAUACGAGUUCCUUUCAAUAAAUGGUGAACUCCUUGGGGAGGGAGGAGCCUUGUCUUAUUCAUCUUUAUAAAUAAAUGUUUGUGGGCUUUUAAUUUUUUCCAAAGACAGCAAAAUUUUGCAUUGAAAUUAGCAUGUUUAAGGAGUAUAAAAAUAGUCUGUUUCUUUACAUGCUGACUUUUAGUAGGGACAUAUUUAAAGCUUUCACCACUCCUGAAUGAUAGCAAUACUAGUGGUGACUCUUCAGUUGGUCAUUUGUGUAGCAAAUAUUUAUUAUUUGUUAUCAACCUACACUGAGUUAGCACUUAAUAACUUUCGGAGUCCUUUAUUGCUAGGAUUUCCUAUCUCCCAGCCCCGGCCCAGCCUCUGGCCAUCCAGGAUGCGGGGGGCCUCAGGUGAGUACUGGAGAGCCAGGCAGCAGGCUGGAGAGGGCAGCCCCCCCCUGCCCCCGAAGGGAAACAGUGGCCGGUGUGAUGGGGGUCCCGCACGCCUGGGAGACCAGCCUGCUUACAAAGAUGAGAUUGUGCAACAGAUGUACUUACAAGGUGAAGAAUUUUUAUUUUCGUUUAAAAAGCAGAGUUUGAUAAAGGCACUUCUUUCGUUAGGAUUUAAGUAAUUCUGUCCUGGCAUGUUGUAUCUGUAAUGAAAUUCUAAAAAGAGAAGAUGAAAAAUACAACUCAUUGCCGCGGACAGCAGCUGUCCCCACUUACGCCUUCCGUGCAAGGGCCCCGCGUCACGCUCACCUUCAAGUGGCUCUUUGCCACAGACUCUUCGGGAAUUAUGACUCUUAGUGCCACAGUUCUCACAUUUAUUAUUCUGUAAUCUAGUCCCAGAAGCAGAAGAGCAGCUGGGGCCUGCAGCAGAACCUGGAAAAGCCCGAGUUACACAAAAGAAGUGUGAGUUUCUUCACUAGAGUCAUAAAGUGUGGCAGCUCUAACCAGUUGGCGCCAAAGUGUCCACUUCCCCAGUUGUGUUCCCAAGGGGAAUUGCCAGCCUCGGAAUGACAUUUGGAAUCCCCGUAUGACAAAUGAGAGAUGUUUUGAUAAGUAACAGAUCUGAUAGGAAAACCUCAAGAAUUUACUCGCACAUGGAGGUGCUUAGGGAAGGUCUGCUGAAUGGAUGGGUCCGUGAGAACGUGGCCCACUGAACCAAUUACAAAUGCAAGAUCAAUAUUUUUCCAGAUUUGCCCUGAUACACCCUCAUUCUUUUCUCAGACCCUGUUGUGGCCAAGAGCUUGUGUUUUGUCACCCAGACAGUUGGAAAGAUGGUUUUUCUCUACAUCAAUUCCAUAAGCCGAUAUGGGAAACUGAAUUAUAGUUUUGCCGUUAUCUGUGCCACAGAGGGGCUAGUAGUAGAGAGCGUGUGUGUCUAGUGCAGGUCUAGGACCUGGCAGGCUGUGGGCGAUGGAGCCCUCCAGGUAAGGCUAGAGUGUGAGAGCCUGGGCCAGACAAGUGAGCACAUCUCGGCUCCAGGAGAGGUGAGACCAGGGGACAAAGACUCUGCCGACGCUACCUGCCUUGCUACUCUGGUGAUUAUGCUCAUUUGUAACACUUUCUUUCUUUCUUUCUUUUUUUUUUUAAGAUUUUUAUUAUUUUUUGAGAGAGAGAGAGAGAGCGGGAGAGGGAACACAAGCAGGCGGAGUGGGAGAGGGAGAAGCAGGCUUCCUGCGGAGCAGGGAGCCCGAUGCGGGGCUCGAUCCCAGAACCCUGGGAUCAUGACCUGAGCCGAAGGCAGACACUUAAUGACUGAGCCACCCAGGCGCCCCUGUAACAUUAUCUUUCAAAGAGUAAGUCACAAUGGGGUGAGCUCUAGGGAUGUUUUUUCUUUUCCAUAUCUCAGUCAGUAGUCAUUGAGGGGCGCCUGGGUGGCUCCGUUGGUGGAGCGUCUGACUCUUGGUUUUGGCUCAGGUUGUGAUCUCGGGGUCAAGAGAUUGAGCUCCCUGAGUCAGGCUCCGUGCUCAGUGUGGAGUCUGCUGGAGAUUCUCUCCCUCCCCUCUGCUCCUCUCCUCCCACUCAUGCAUGCACUCCCUCUCUCUCUCAAAUAAAUAAAUAAAUAAAAUCUUUAAAAAAAUAGUCAUUGAGGGCGCCUGGCUGGCUCAGUCAUUAAGCGUCUGCCUUCAGCUCAGGUCAUGAUCCCAGGGUCCUGGGAUCGAGUCCCACAUCGGCCUCCCUGCUCGGCAAGAAGCCUGCUUCUCCCUCUCCCAUUCCCCCUGCUUGUGUUACUGCUCUCGCUAUCUCUCUCUCUGCCAAAUAAAUAAAUAAAAUCUUUAAAAAAAAAAAAGUCAUUGAAUUCCUUCUCAAUCCAUAACUCAAGGAAAUUGCAAUAAAGGAUUGAAGGCAUUCCCUGAGAAGGCUGUAUGGUGGAAGGAGCAUGAGGCUCAGAUAGACCUGAGUUUGAAGUCUGGGUCUGCCAUUAGUUAGCAGUGAUGGUUAAAAAUAUGUCCACAAAUUCUUUGAUAUGUUCUUCAGAAGGUAGAGCCUAAUUCUUCUCUCCUUGAGUGUGGGCUGGAUUUAGUGACUUGCUUGUCACAAAUAAAGUGAUAAUGAUGAUGUAUCACUUCCAAAACUAGGUCAUAAAAGACACUGAAGCUUCCAUGUUGGUUUUCUCUUGGAUCACUUGGCUGCCAUGUCAUAAUGACACUCAGCCUAUUGGAGAGGCCCACACAGUGAGGAACUAAAACCUCCUCCCAAUGGCCAUGUGAGUGAACCAUCAUAGAGGCAGAUUCUCCAGUCCCGGUCAGGCCUUCAGCUGAUGGUGGUAUUGGCCAGCAUCUGACUACAACCUCAUCAGAGAACUGGAGCUGAAUCACUCAGCUAAGCUGCUCCCAAACUCCUGACCCAUAGAAAUUCUGAGAUAGAAAAUGUUUGUUGUUUUGAACCAUUAUAUUUUGGGAUACUUCACUAUACAGCAGUAGAAAUACACCAGCUCUUUGGCAAGUUACUGAAUUUCUCUGAGCCUCCAUUUCCUUAUCUGUAAAAUAAAGAUAAUAAUUCCUACUUACAGGGAUUUAAGGAUAGCUAAAUAUUAUGCACUAUGUCAGCAGUUCUCAAAUUUUUUAUGUCAGAACCCUUUUACACUCUUAAAAUUGAGAACCCUAAAGAGCUUUACUUAUUAUAGUUUUUAUCUAUGCUGUAUCAUAAUAUAUGCCAAUAUACAAAAUAUACAAAAUAUACAAAAUAUAUUUUUUGUACCUGUGGUGAAAAAUCUCACCCUGCAUUGGAGAAGAGCUAUUAUAUGACAUUCAGUCGGUUGAAGAUGGACUGGUAGAGAGGGAUCUAUUAUAAAUUUAAAGUCAUUUUUGCUUGUGCAGAAUCAUUCAGAUCUUCCCAAGACUGAAAGGAAAGUCCUAAGGCUUUUUUUAAAUAGAAUUUUAAACUGAAACAUUUAAAAAUAUUUUAUUAUGUCAUUUAAAACCAACAGUAAAUUCAUUUCAUGCUGAUAAAAUAAGGGUUUUUAAAAAAAUUUUUUAAAAAGAUUUUAUUUAUUUAAUAGAGAGAGAGGGAGCACAAGGGGAGCGGAAGGGGAGGGAGAGGGAGAAGUAGACUUCCUUCUGAGCAGGGAUCCCGACGCGGGACUCGAUCCCAGAACCCUGAGAUCAUGACCUGAACUGAAGGCAGAUGCUUAACCGACUGAGCCACGCAGGCACCCGGGCUUUUUAAAAUGUUUUUUAAAAAAUUGUAUUCAUUUAUUUAAGAGAGAGAGAAAGAGCAUGCGUGCAUGAGCUCGCAGAGUGGGGAGGGGCAGAGGGUGAGGGAGAGGGACAAGCAGACUCCGUGCUGAGCCCAGGGCCCAAUGCUGGGCUUCAUCCCAUGACCCCAAGAUCAUGAUCUGAGCUGAAACCAAGAGUCCAACCCUCAACUCACUGAGUCACCCAGGCGCCCCACAAUAACAGGUUUUUAAUGCAAAAAAGCUAUUUUUAAAAAUGAAAGGCAUGGGGCGCCUGGGUGGCUCAGUCGUUAAGCAUCUGCCUUUGGCUCAGUCUUUAAGCAUCUGCCUUUGGCUCAGGUCAUGAUCCCAGGGUCCUGGGAUCAAGCCCCGCGUCAGGCUCCUGCGGGAAGCCUGCUUCUCCCUCUCCCACUCCCCCUGCUUGUGUUCCCUCUCUGGCUGUCUUUCUCUCUGUCAAAUAAAUAAAACCUUUAAAAAAAAAAUGAAAGGCAUUAGAAGAGUGGCAGUAUUUUAUGUUUUGGCAAGUGUCUUGAAUACCUGGCUUACUAGAAGGCAGCUGGAUUCGAUGGCUGCACCUGCAUUCAGUCAGUUGCAGUAUUGGCCUUGCACGGAUAUGUAGCUGCAAAAGAGAGGGUCUCACAGCCCCCCAGAAGGGUCUCAGGGACCCCCAGAGCCUUCUGACUACAGUUGGAAAGCCUGUCCUGGUACGGCAUCUGGUGUUGUGGGUAUUCAAUUGAUGAAACAUUACUAUGACUAUUAGAAAAUGAAUCUUUGGGGAGCCUGGGUGGCUCAGUCGGUUAAGCAUCUGCCUUCGGCUCAGGUCAUGAUCCCAGGGUCCUGGGAUCGAGUCCUGCAUCAGGCUCCCUGCUCAGCGGGGAGUCUGAUUCUCCCUCUGCCCCCGCUGCUCCCCCUGCUCGUGCUCUCUCUCUCUCUCUCUCAGAUAAAUAAAUAAAAUCUUUAAAAAAGAAGAAGAAGAAAAUGAAUCAUCUACGGAGAAGAAGUAGAACUACACAUGACAGAACAGAAAGAACACUGGGUCAAAGGAAAGGCUCUUGGCCCACAGCUUGUAUGAGCGUAAACAAGCCUCGUUAGGUCUCCGGCCUCGGUUCUCGUGUAUAAACAGGGUAGACCAGACUCGGGUGGGGACUCUCAUGCUCAGGAGCUGCCUGAACAGGCAGGCCUUGGCCUCACCUCUUCCUCAACCAGGGUGGUUCUGCCACGGGAUGUUUUUCUGCUUAAACUACCUUUGGAGGAAAACUCCUCUGACUAAAAAUCAUUGAAUUCCAUGCCCUGCGUGCUCUCCCAGUCUCCUCCCAGAAGAAGCAAUUUUCUUUGCUUCUGUGAAAUGUGCAUGGACAAGUCGGCAGCAAGUCUCCCAUGGCCAGGAAGCUCACCAGGUGGGGAUUUUGGGUCAUGCUGGAAGGAUGACACCCAGAGUGGAGGCCACCUCACAACUGAGUGCAUGGAGUCCCGGGACUCCCGCACAAACACAGGUGGGCACUUUCACCCUGUCUGGCCACAUUUGAUCCAUUUGAAUCUAUUCCAUUUUUAAUUUUUUACAUAUUGCAAAAAAAAAAAAAAUACAAUAGGCCACACCCUCGUCUAGGUAAAGCUGUUUGGUGUGGCAGAUGGGCUGCCUGCAGGGAGCAGACCCAUGGAGACGGACCACAGCCCCGGGCCCCUCAACUUACUGAGAAUCGAACCUGCGUGCUGUGCCUCUUCUUGAAUGGCAGGGGGACACCUUCCGCAGUUGGUGUUUCUCUGCCCUUUUUUCUCCAUGUUUUCCUUCCUGAAAAAGGUGCAUAAGAUCCCAUAAACUUUUAGCCCACUUCUCCUGGAGAUUGUGAGCGUACCGGUAAAACUGAAAUGUUAAAUUUCUUAGAUCAAGGCCUGGGACGAUACAGGAGUGGCGUCUUGUCCUCAACACAGAGCUGCCCGCCCUUUUGAGAGCCUUCCUAUAAGAAACCGCACCCAGCACCGCUUGGCCUGGUAAGAAUAUGUAUACUAAAUGUUAAAAAGCAAAUCUGUUUUGUUCCCCAGAGGAUGAUAUCUAAUCACCAUGCACACAUAUGCAAUAUAGAAAUUUGAAAUACGGAAUUAUAAGAUUUGGGGUUUUCUUCAUACUCGUGUCUCAAAAUCAACUCUUACCAGGGGAAGAAGCUGUGCUCCAUGUCAGUGCUAGGUCAUGUGGCUUUGGCUCCACAAGUGCAAGCUGAGUGUGUCCAGAACGCCCAGCAAGCUGGAUUUUGUCCAGUGUGUAUGGGGGCGCUUUGUUCCCAAAGCGGUGGGAGCACAUUGGGUUAAUUUUAGCUGUACAAGGCCACCAGGGGGCAUCAGAAAGAUACCUUCCAGUUGUCUACCAGGACACUUUUCUCUGACCUGUCUGUUGCUUCAGCCUCCCUUCUUCACAGAAAUUCUAACUCCUUCUGAAAAAUUCUAAUUAAUCACAAUUCUUAAUAAAGCCCUCACACGCCCCUGAGAUACAGUAAUAGCCCUCCAGGAAAGUUGCUCAUUCUUAGUGUGGAAGGCACUGUGCCCUUGAUGUCCCGGACAUAGCUGGUGAGAGGAACGAGACUGAUUCCCCUGGAGGGAGGGAUGGGGAGGGGAGGCGGGGGGGCAGGGAAGGGGGGACAAGCUCCAGACGUUGCUUGGUGAAUGCAGCACCCCCAACCUUGCCCAGGCCUGCUGGCUGCCAUGGAGACAGGCGCUGUGCUUGGAGUUGUUGGGGCUGGGGGCUGAGAAGCUGGGCCCUUCCCCUCCCCUUGGAAAAACAUGCUUUCCUCCUGACUCACAUAUUUUCUAACACCUCAUUUUCUGUCUCCUCCUUCCACCUUUGGGGCAUUUGAACAUCUGCUCUCCAAAGUGGAAAACUUGGAUCUCUUUCAAGGGAGUUCAGUCCCACACAUGACUUUCUUUUUCUGCCUCUUUUAAACUUCUUUGUGCACUAAAAUCUUCUUGCCAAACAUAAAAGCUAAGGGCAAUUCUACUUGAGAAGACAGUUUUCCAAGAAGACAAAGUAGCUGAAGCGUACUCUUAAAUACAAAAUCCUGCAUCAGACAUAGCACAAAGGGAUAUGCAUUUUAUCUGUAGCAUAUAUCAUUUAUCUGCAUAUAUAUAAAUAUCCCUCAAACAUCAGCAAACUUCAUAAAGCACAUGUCCCAUCUGAGAGAUAUCUAAUCUUCUAGAAAAGUAAAGAGUAUAUGUAGCCCUUUGUUCAAUUAAUCCCUCAGGUAUUAUGUAGUUUACCAAGAUUUCAAUUUAUAAAUCAUGGGUAUCUCUACUUCACACCCCAGUGGUACAUUCAUUGUUAGAUCUGAUUUCACACUUGGCUGUGCUUUUCCUUCCCUCUUGUCCGUCAUAAAAGAGAAAAUUUAGUCUGGAACAUCAGUCCCUGACUUGAUACUUAAGAGUCUCUGUAGGGUCUAGACUAGGGAUUUGGAAGAGAAGUAUUUAAUACCGCGAAUGCUUAAUCAAAAUGUUUUUUAAAUGUCAAACUAUUUUUAUUAUACUUAAUACAAUUUUUAAAAUUCCAAAACUGAGGUUUCAUUCAAUAAAUAAAAAUAGUGGGCCUGGGGUGACUCAGGGAGUAGGCAUCAUUAUUGCCCCUUAUAUUUAAAGGAGAGUCAAAGCCAAUGACUAGCAUGUUGGUUUAAAGUAAUGGUCCACACCAGAUAACACAUGGUCAUUUUCAGCACAAACACCAUGCACUUUUUAAGGGGCGGACACUCAAUAGAACACUUAGGACAAGCUCCUGGGGUGGAAUCCUUUCGAGCUUCAGAUCUUGUCAUCUGCUUCUAUUAGAGCCCAUUAUGGACAUGUAAUAAUGGUUGCUAACAGCUCCUCCCUCCUUGACUCUUGACCUUUCCAAGGUAAAUUAGCCCAGCUUUGGCCCGCAUCCACGGUGCCUCCUGAGCAUGGAGGUAGCGCCUCUCACUAACAGACAGAAGCUUCAAAUAAAUGAUUCUGAAUCCACAUGGGCUAACAGUUGAUCCAAAGAAAGUUUCAAGAACAUUAAGGAUUUCUCCUUAGGAUUUUGCAUCGAUGCUUUCUUGACACAGUUUACAGCUUCUUAACCUCUGGAAGAUUUCUUGCCCAAGAACGGGGAGAAGUGAACCCCGAGAGGUGGGAUUGGGUUUAUUUCCAGUGGGACUGGGGACAGAGGGAGGGAAGGGGCAGAUUUUCACUCAUCACAAGAAGCUGCUCUGUGAAUGGUGCACGACCACCUCCCGUCUGGGUAAUGUUCUGACGGAGCCUACAGGACAAACCACCCUUCGUGGGCUGUAGCCAUGAUUCUUAACCAAGGGGACUUCUGAGAAUCACUUGAGCAGAUUUAAAAGAAGUAUUCCUACCAGGGCUCCAGCCCCGGUGAGGCUGACACAGUAGGUGAGGGUGAGGCGUGUGCAUUAUUUAACAAUCUUCCCGAUGACUCUGAUGCUCACCCCACCCAAGAGCCACCGUGAGAGGGAUUUGUGAAUCGGGACGGAGGCGGGGCAUGCCCAGCCCCGCGAUCUGCGAUCUGUAACUUGGCCAGCGGCUUCUGGCACCUGUUCGCUUAAACUGACGCCCACUCUCCCCGGAGCUAUUAUCCCCGCACUGGCUCCCACCUGCCCUGGGGAUUUAGCAGCAAGAAGUCCUCACCAUUCAAGGACCCCAUGGCAAAAGGCACAGCUUGGACUGGUCGUCUCUGCAUGGUCCUGCCUUCCCGAGGUGUUGAUGGGGUUCUCCUGCACCACAAAGCACACACAGAUGUGGCUGUGAGCGAGGAAGUGACUCAUCCCGCCGCUGCUCACACACAGGCAGCUGAACUCACCGCUUUGGGACUCCUUUGCUCUGAUUUCUCGCUCCGCGGGGUCCAUGCUGUCAUGGCCUGGGGCUUAAAGAGAGAAGGUUUCAAUGCUGGCUUGGCCUCUCUCCUCCUCCAAACAUUUAAAAAUCUAGUUUACAGAUGAGAGAAUACUUUCCCCCUUUUUUCUUUCCUUAGUUUCCACUUUCCCCAGGCACCACCGGAGGAUGAGCAGAUUUAGGAAGAUAAUGUUUAAAUCCCUCAAUCUGACCACUCUUCGUAGAGCUCUACAAGCUUUUCCCAAGAAAUGCAUUCAACUAUGAAUUAAAACAGGCUUUAGGACUAUUUAGAGGCUGAAAUUAUUGUUUAUAUGUCCCUUUUUAACACAGAAAAAUUACACUACUUCACGGAAACGCCUGACACCACCCAGAGUGUAUUUUCUACUAUGGUUUUACCCUUUCUGUAAACAGAAAACGUGCUCUUCUCCCCAUUAUAAACAAUGCUCGCACAAGCGUCCUUGUACAGGUCACUUUUUCCAUAUUUUGAAUUACUUCCUUAGGAAAUGUCUAGGUCAAAGAUCGUGAACAUGUUUGCGUGAUGAUACCUGUUGCCAAAUUGCUUUCCACAAACGUUAUAAGAUGACACAGCCACCAACAAUGUGGGCAGCUCAGUUUGACCCCGCCUUCCGCUGCAUCAGGUCCUCCUCAUACAACCUGCUUGGUUCCUUCUCGCCCUCCUGGCAUCCUGAGGCUCAGAGAAUUUCAGCAGCGUGGCAAGGUCACAGAGAGUAAGUGGCAGACCUGGGAUUUGAACCUUUCCCCUUCUGCUUGUGUUCUUAACCACAAUUUUCCUGCUCCUUUGGUCACCUGUCAGAGCCCUUUGUAUAAUAAAAACCUCAAUAUGGCACGUUAUUUGUUCUUAAUAUUUUCCAACUUGUCUGCCUUUCAAAAAAAGUGGCUUCGGUUUCGGUUUUGCAAAUAUUAGUUAAAAUGUUGAUGAUGUCAAAGAGGAGGUGGCAAUGGCCGAGAAACAUAUGAAAAUGAGUUAAAUUUCACAAACAGUCCAAGAAAUACAGAUGAAAACAAUGAGAUACCAGUUUCACUUAUCACUUUGGCGAAGGUUGGAAAGAAAAAAAAAAUCCCCAGGGUGGGCUUGGGGGUGGGGUGGGGACACGGCUCCUUUCUGAUGCACAGCUGGGCCAUGACACCACCUUGCUAAGCGCCAGUUUAUCAGAAUUUUCUUGCCUCUUGCCUCUUGAACCAUUAACAUUUUUAGUCUAAGGAAAUAAUCGAGUAUGGCCCAAAGCUUGCAUAUAAAAUGAUGUCACCAAAGCAGUGUUUAUAAUAUCAAAGAACUGGAAAAAAACAAAUGUCCAUCAACAAGGGAUUGGUUAAAUGAAUUGGUAUAAUGAAAUACAAUGCAGUCCUUAAAAAUGAAGCCAUAGGUUUAUUCUACAUGAUUGUUGAAAUGCCCACGAUAGAAUGUUAAAAGAGAAAAAGCAUCAUAAAACAAUAUAUAUAGCAUGAUCCCAGUUUUUCAAAAAUGUGUAUGUGUCUGUGGAGAAGAAAAAAGACUUGACAGAUUCACACUAACAUAUUAGCUAUGAUUUUUUUCUCUGUGAAAUGUUCUUUAUACUUCUAUCUUCUGAUUUGUUUAGCGAAAAGCAUAAAUUGUUUUUAUAAUUUAAAAAAAGGCUUUGCCCCUAUGUUUUCUUUGAUGACUUCUCACUUUUAGGGGUACAGAGGUACCCUGCACUUCACAUAUAAGGUAGAUUUACGUGAGCAGAAUGUAGGCAGGUGCCCUCCACCUGAACUGGGAGGCCUGGGAUCCAGUGUCCCCUAACGUUUGUCCUCACCUUCCUAAGUCUCCUCACCUUCCUAAGCUUCCAACUGUUCUUCUGCCAAGUCUUUGCAAACUGUGAGCUCUGAACCAACAUUAUAAUUUUGUCACUAUCCUUUUAGACCAAGGGUUUGUUUGUUUGUUUUUCAUUUUUUUAAAUUAACAUAUAAUGUAUUACUUGUUUCAGGGGUACAUGUCUGUGACUCGUCAGCCCCACACAAUUCACAGCGCUCACCCCAGCACACACCCUCCCCCAUGUCCACCACCCAGCCACCCCCCCUCCCUUAGACCAGGGGUUUUUAAUCCCAGUACUUCCAGCUCAUUAGUAAUGAAAUAAUCUCAAGGUGUGGUCUCCAGACCAGCAACACUGGCGUCACCUGGGAGCUUGUUCGAAACGCAGGCUCACCUCAGACCCACCGAAUCAAAGCCUAUGUGCAGUAAGAUUUGCACAGGAUUUCUAGGUGCACUGUGGCUGGAGAAGCCCUGAUCUAGAACAGGUACGCCAGGCAAGUGUCUCCCGAGCGCUGAGAGUGGGAAACAUUAGCAACACCAGCAGCUGUCACCAGCACUGACAUCCACGGUGUUAGUUAAGCUCAGAGCCAGGUGAUCACGAUGAUGCCAGGUUCAGAGCCACACUCAGCAACACUGGUUAUGGUCAGAGAUCCAACAGAAGGAACUGAACCGAGCAGGGCUGGGCUGCUGGACAUGACCCUGGGAUCGGAGGACAACUUCAUGGCCAUUUGAUCUGGUUGGUCUGUGUUAUCGUUGUUUUUUGGGUUUUGGUGUUUUGUUUGUUUGUUGUUUUUUUGUUUUUUUAGGCAGUUUGAAUUUAGAAUCAGUUCUUGAGCUCUGUGGGGGCCCCACUUUGGGGGAUUCUUUGGCUAAGAGUCAUCGGGAAUUUAAUUGCAGCCUUCCUGGGAUGAUGGGAAGGAGCAACCUGAGGUAGAGUGUGGUGGGGACAUUUUGUGGCUGCUCUCCCUUUCUCCUCUCAGAACUGGUCAAGCCCUCCCUCCGCAGCGAUAGCUGUGUAGGAAGGGGCCUGUCGCUGCCCCGAAGGACGCCCUGGUGUUCCUUAGGAAUCCACGGAGCCACACAGAGGGACUGCCUUUAGAACUGCAGUUCCACGGGGCGACUCAGAUCAGUUCAGCAUCCCCACUGCACCCCUAGGCACCAUCACAUCCUGCCUGGAGUUCCUUUUUUUUUUUUUUUUAUUAUGUUAUGUUAGUCACCAUACAGUACAUCAUUAGUUUUUGAUGUAGUGUUCCACGAUUCAUUGUUUGCAUAUAACACCUAGUGCUCCAUUCAAUACGUGCCCUCCUUAAUACCCAUCACCGGACUAGCCCAUCCCCCCACCCCCUUCCCUCUGAAACCCUCAGAUUCUUUCUCAGAGUCCAUAGUCUCUCAUGGUUCGUCUCCCCCUCCAAUUCCCUCCCCUUCAUUUUUCCCUUCCUUCUCCUAAAGUCCUCCAUGCUAUUCCUUAUGUUCCACAAAUAAGUGGAAGCAUAUGAUAAUUGACUUUCUCUGCUUGACUUAUUUCACUUAGCAUAAUCUCCUCCAGUCCCACCCAUGUUGAUGUAAAAGUUGGGUAUUCAUCCUUUCUGAUGGCUGAGUAAUAUUCCAUUGUAUAUAUGGACCACAUCUUUAUCCGUUCAUCUGUUGAAGGGCAUCUCGGUUCUUUCCACAGUUUGGCUAUUGUGGACAUUGCUGCUGUGAACAUUGGGGUGCAUGUGCCCCUUCUUUUCACUACAUCUGUGUCUUUGGGGUAAAUACCCAGUAGUGCAAUUGCUGGGUCAUAGGGUAGCUCUGUUUCCCCAACUCUCCACCUAUCUUCCUCCUUCUUACCCCUCCCUCCAACUCAGUUCAAAUCUUACCUUCCCUGACCAAGUUUCCCGAGUGACUUGGCCCUCCCACAGUGAGUGACUUUUGGUCACAUGCCAUUACUGAAUAAUCACAAAAGCUAACACCCAGCUAGUGUGCUUAACUAUGAGCCAGGCCCCAUUUCAAGCACUUUACCCGUAUUAACUCACUUAACACCAUAACAACAUCAUAACAGUUUCUAACAAGCUGCCAGGUGAUGUCAGUGCUCUUGGUCUGGGGACCACACUUGAGAUUAUUUCAUUAUAAAUUAAUUGCAAGUGCUGGGAUUAAAAAUCCACAGGUCUAAAAUGAUAAUGACAAAAUUAUAAUGAGAAGUAAACAAUAAUAAUUCUGUGGGCUCAGGGCUUUACAGUUUGCAAAGAUUUUUCACAGUAGAGGAGUUGGAAGCUUAGGUAGGUAUUAUUAUCUUUAUUUUACAGAGGAAACUGAGGCACAGAGAGGUUACAUAACUUGCCCAAGGUCACAAAGCUGAUGAGUGACAGAGCCAGUGCUCAGACCCAGGCAGUUCGGCUCCAGAGUCACAGGAAUGUAUCAUGUUAAGUGCAUUGCACUUAUUUAUUUGUCCAUUGUAUGGAUCCCUUAGAGAUAUGUAAGCAUUUUGAGGGCGGGUGACUUGUCUGCUUUGUUUAUGUUAUACCCCAAUACCUAGAAAAGUGCCUAGCAUUUGGCAAUAAAUAUUUGUUGAAUGAAUGAAUGAUCCUAGCAGUAGAUUGUCUUUUCAGGGCCACUCAUCACAAAAUUCUAGAGUUCUUAUUAUUUCAGAAUAGUUGCGGGUAAACUUGGGACCCAGUAAAGAAAAGCAAACCCAGAUCUGAGAGAGCUGCUGGGUGGAAGGCUAGGCUCACUCUCUGGGCUCCCUCACACCACCAGGAAACUAAUUCUGGUUCACAGCUUGGGAAGCAUUGAGACUGUUAAAUUCACAAGGGCUCAGAGGUUACUACACUGAACAUCCAUGCUAUAUCAGGGGCUCAGUCAGAUGUCUGUGAUACAAAGAUAGGUACAAAGGCACAGGGACAAGUGAGACACAGUACUGAGGGGACACAGAGGUCUGAGCAAAGAAUUCUGCCUGAGGUGGGGGACUGUGUGUCAGAGUUAUAUAAAUGGCCUAACUCGGAAGCUGGGCCAUGAAUGAAAUUUUGCUGGAAAGGUUAAGUGUUUUGAAGGAGCAAACACACUUUUUUGGCAGGGCUAGCAUUUAUAUAACUUUCAACAUCUUGUUCUUAACUGUGACAAAAACCUAUUCAGAUUUUGAGUGUCAGCCACAGGCUGUGACUUCAAGUGCUGUCUGAAACAAAAGAGUCACGUUAAGGCAAUUAUCCAGAUGAUUCAGUUUCUCAGAAUUUUAAUUUAGUCUGAAAUGUUCUGAUAGUUGAAACUACAAAAACAAAAAGUGUAGAAAGACAGUGGUGAUUGAAUUCCUAAUCUUGCAUAUGUAGACAAUCCAAAAGAAUUUAACUUGAGAGAAGGAAAAUGCAGAAGUGGACCCAUGGGAAAUAGUUCUUCCCACUGAGUGUGUUAUUCUUUAUGUAGAAGAGGGAAUACAAAACUAUUAAGAGAAAUUAUUUCUUCCAGGCACAAUCCACAAAAAUGUUGCUCCUCAUCCAGAAGAAAUAGCCUUUCAGUGGUUCAUCACUUUAAACUGCAUUGUUAUAUCUUAAACUAAUAAGAUCUUUCAAAAACCAACACUUAAAAUAGCUUCUAAUUUUUAAAAGCUGGUUCCAUUUUAAAUAAUAUGAUUCAUGGGACUUUGGAAAAUUAAAUUUUCAUGAAAUAUUAAAAUAGAAUUCAUGAUUUCAUGCAUUAGAAUUCUAUAAAUGCAUAAAACACAUUUUUCCUGGCAUGAAAUUAGGCUGUAGGUUGCCGUAUUACCUCAUUUGAGGGUGGAGAGGAUGUGGAUGCCAAGUCAUCCGAGAUGAUUGGAGAACUCACAGGAAGAGAAACGGCUGAAGUACAUUUGCCCUUAUUAAUUUUCUCUUUAACAUCCUCAAGUAGCAUCUCCAACUUGAAGAUUUCUCCUUCCACUUCUCUAAUAGACAUAAACAGGCAUCUUACUGGAUAUGCAGUCAACAGUCUAAUUAGUAACAACAGUUCAUGAAUAUAGCAUUGAUCUAUAUUAUUAAUGUGGUUUGCCUUCAGACAGGAAGGAUAAUGGACACCCGCCCUGACAUGCAUCCUGUUUAUAGUCUCACUCCAAAGGCCUGGGCUCUAAUCCUCAUUUUGUUAUUCAUUAGCUGUGCAUCCUUGGGAAAAUCACCUCAUCUUACUGUACCUCCAGUGUCUCAACUAUAACAUGGGGAUAACAAUACUCUGCUCAUCUGGAUCUAAUUAUUUUGAGGUCCCUUACAGUUCUAAGAGCUGUGAUUCUUUGGAAAUAAUGAUUUAUAUCAAUUGAAAAGAGGAAGGACAUGAAAUAUCUGGGGAAUCAUUUGAUUAACAAGCUUGAUCUAUAGGCAUAUGUACAUAUAUGUAUACAUGUUUAAACAAGUGUAUAUGUGUAAGUGUAUACAUAAAUAUAAAUAUUUUACCCAAAAAGAACCCAAUUUCCUCAAAGCCAUUACAUUUACAAAAAUUUACCUCAUAUUAAUCCACAAAGAAAAAUCUCACCAAAUUCCAAAACAUUAAAAAUUGUGCCACUGCUUUCUCACUAAGAUCAGGAAAAAGGCAAGGAUGUCCCUCUCACCACUCCUUUUCAACAUUGUGCUGGAAAUCCUACCUAAUGUAAUAAGACAAGAAAAGAAAAUAUAAGGUAUACAGAUUGGAAAGGAAGAAAUAAAAAUGUCUUUUUUCACAUAUGAAAAUCCAAAAGAAUUAACAGAAAAACUAGAACAAAUAAGCAAUUAUAGUGAGGUUGCAGGAUACAAGGUUAAUAUUACAAAAGUGAAUCACUUAGCUAUAUUCCAUCAACAAGUGAAAUUUGAAAUUAAAGAUAAAACCAUUUACAUUAAGAUCAAAAAAAUGAAAUAUUUAGGUAUAGAUUUUUUUUUAAGAUUUUAUUUAUUUAUUUGAGACAGAGAGAAUGAGAUACAGAGAGCAUGAGAGGGAGGAGGGUCAGAGGGAGAAGCAGACCCCCCGCUGAGCAGGGAGCCCGAUGUGGGACUUGAUCCCAGGACUCCAGGAUCAUGACCUGAGCCGAAGGCAGUCGCCUAACCAACUGAGCCACCCAGGCGCCCCUUAGGUAUAGAUUUAACAAAAUAUGUACAAGAUCUAUAUAAGGAAAACUAUAAAACUCUGAUGAAUGAAAUCGAAGAACUAAAUAAAUGCAGAGAUAUUCCAUGUUUGUGGAUAAGAAGACUCAAUAUUGUCAAGAUGUCAGUUCUUCCCAAUCCGAUCUAUAGAUUAAAGGCAACCCCUGUCAAAAUUCCAGCUAGUUCUUUUGUGGAUACUGACAAAAUGAUUCUGAAGUUUAUAUGAAGAGACAAAAGACUCAGAAUAUCCAACACAAUAUUGAAGGACAAGAACAAAGUUGAAAGACUGACACUACCCAACUUUGAGACCUACUAUAAAGGUACAGUAAUCAAGGCAGUGUGUGGUAUUGGUGAAAGACUAUACAAAUAGAUCAGUGGAACAGAAUAGAGAACCCAGAAAUAGACCCACAUAAUUAUAGUCACUCGAUCUUGACAAAAGAGCAAAGGCAAUACAAUGGAGCAAAGAUAGUCUUUUCAACAAAUGGUGCUAGAACAACUGAAUAUCCACAUGCAAAAAAAUGAAUCUAGACACAUACCUUAUACCCUUCAUAAAAAUUAACUCAAAAUGGAUCACAGACCUAAUGUAAAAUGCAAAAGUGUAAAACUCCUAGAAGAUAACAUAGUAGAAUACCUAGAUAAUCUUGGAUAUGGUGAUGACUUUUGAGAUACAAAACCAAAGACACCAUCCAUGAAAGAAAUAAUUGAUGAGCUAGAUUUCAUAAAAUUAAAACUUCUAGGGGUAGGGGCGCCUGGGUGGCUCAGUUGUUAAGCGUCUGCCUUCGGCUCAGGUCAUGAUCCCAGGCUCCUGGGAUCAAGCCCCGCAUCGGGCUCCCUGCUCGGCGGGAAGCCUGCUUCUCCCUCUCCCACUCUCCCUGCUUGUGUUCCUGCUCUCGCUCUCUCUCUCUCUCUCUCUGUCAAAUAAAUAAACAAAAUCUUUAAAAAAAAAACAAAAAACUUCCAUUCUGCCAAGAAAAUGAGAAGACAAGACACAGACCAAGAGAAAAUAUUGGCAAA